GAUGAACGCCGGCGGCGUGCCUAAUACAUGCAAGUCCAGCGAACGGACGAGAAGCUUGCUUCUCUGAUGUUAGCGGCGGACGGGUGAGUAACACGUGGAUAACCUACCUAUAAGACUGGGAUAACUUCGGGAAACCGGAGCUAAUACCGGAUAAUAUUUUGAACCGCAUGGUUCAAAAGUGAAAGACGGUCUUGCUGUCACUUAUAGAUGGAUCCGCGCUGCAUUAGCUAGUUGGUAAGGUAACGGCUUACCAAGGCAACGAUGCAUAGCCGACCUGAGAGGGUGAUCGGCCACACUGGAACUGAGACACGGUCCAGACUCCUACGGGAGGCAGCAGUAGGGAAUCUUCCGCAAUGGGCGAAAGCCUGACGGAGCAACGCCGCGUGAGUGAUGAAGGUCUUCGGAUCGUAAAACUCUGUUAUUAGGGAAGAACAUAUGUGUAAGUAACUGUGCACAUCUUGACGGUACCUAAUCAGAAAGCCACGGCUAACUACGUG
rnacentral:rRNA from 1 species